rnacentral:misc_RNA from 1 species
CACCCGAAGCCGGUGGCGUAACCCUUUUAGGGAGCGAGCCGUCUAAGGUGGGACAAAUGAUUAGGGUGAAGUCGUAACAAGGUAGCCGUAGGAGAACCUGCGGCUGGAUCACCUCCUUUCUAAGGAAACAGACUGAAAGUCUGACGGAAACCUGCACACACGAAACUUUGUUUAGUUUUGAGGGGAUCACCCUCAAGCACCCUAACGGGUGCGACUUUGUUCUUUGAAAACUGGAUAUCAUUGUAUUAAUUGUUUUAAAUUGCCGAGAACACAGCGUAUUUGUAUGAGUUUCUGAAAAAGAAAUUCGCAUCGCAUAACCGCUGACGCAAGUCAGUACAGGUUAAGUUACAAAGGGCGCACGGUGGAUGCCUUGGCACUAGGAGCCGAUGAAGGACGGAACUAAUACCGAUAUGCUUCGGGGAGCUAUAAGUAAGCUUUGAUCCGGAGAUUUCCGAAUGGGGGAACCCAGUACACAUCAGUGUAUUGCUUGUCAGUGAAUACAUAGCUGGCCGGCGGCAGACGCGGGGAACUGAAACAUCUCAGUACCCGCAGGAAGAGAAAGAAAACUCGAUUCCCAUAGUAGCGGCGAGCGAAGUGGGAAGAGCCCAAACCGAGAAGCUUGCUUCUCGGGGUUGUAGGACUGGACAUUGGAGUUACCAAAGUCCGACGUAGUCGAAGUCAGCUGGAAAGCUGCGCCACAGAAGGUGAAAGCCCUGUAAGCGAAACGUCGAACCCUCCGUCCAGGAUCCUGAGUACGGCGGAACACGUGAAAUUCCGUCAGAAUCCGGGAGGACCAUCUCUCAGGGCUAAAUACUCUCUAGUGACCGAUAGUGAGCCAGUACCGUGAGGGGAAAGGG